UUAGGGUUGUAAAACUCUUUCGCCGGUGAAGAUAAUGACUGUAGCCGGUAAAGAAGCCCCGGCUAACUCCGUGCCAGCAGCCGCGGUAAUACGGAGGGGGCUAGCGUUGUUCGGAUUUACUGGGCGUAAAGCGCACGUAGGCGGCAUAUUAAGUUAGAGGUGAAAGGCCUGGGCUCAACCUAGGAACUGCCUUUGAUACUGAUAUGCUUGAGUUCGGAAGAGGGUAGUGGAAUUCCAAGUGUAGAGGUGAAAUUCGUAGAUAUUAUGUAGAACACCAGUUGCGAAGGCGGCUUUCUGGAUCAUUACUGACGCUGAGAUACGAAAGUAUGGGUAGCGAAGAGGAUUAGAUACCCUCGUAGUCCAUACCAUAAACGAUGAUUAUUAGAUGUGGGGAAUUAUUUCUCUGUAUCAUAGCUAACGCGUUAAAUAAUCCGCCUGGGGAGUACGACCGCAAGGUUA
rnacentral:rRNA from 1 species